GACGAACGCUGGCGGCGUGCCUAAUACAUGCAAGUCGAACGAGAGCGACCGGUGCUUGCACUGGUCAAUCUAGUGGCGAACGGGUGAGUAACACGUGGGUAACCUGCCCAUCAGAGGGGGAUAACAUCCGGAAACGGAUGCUAAAACCGCAUAGGUCUUCGAACCGCAUGGUUUGAAGAGGAAAAGAGGCGCAAGCUUCUGCUGAUGGAUGGACCCGCGGUGCAUUAGCUAGUUGGUGAGGUAACGGCUCACCAAGGCCGUGAUGCAUAGCCGACCUGAGAGGGUGAUCGGCCACAUUGGGACUGAGACACGGCCCAAACUCCUACGGGAGGCAGCAGUAGGGAAUCUUCCGCAAUGGACGCAAGUCUGACAGAGCAACGCCGCGUGAGUGAAGAAGGUUUUCGGAUCGUAAAACUCUGUUGUUAGAGAAGAACAAGUGCUAGAGUAACUGUUAGCGCCUUGACGGUAUCUAACCAGAAAGCCACGGCUAACUACGUG
rnacentral:rRNA from 1 species